CUCUUGUGCAAAAUUACUCUGUCUGUCUCUCAAAAGGUUCUAGUAAAAUUGUGGCGAUUAAGCUGUGUUGACGGAUGUACGAUUCUGUUGCUACUUCGCGCUUAUGCGUGGUCUAGUCUGUGCAGCUUACCUACGUCUACAGAUGCAUGUUGUGGCCUCCAAGUAUACUUUAGGCCAGGGUAAGCGCUUUUUGUGUGCCAGCCUACUUCCGGCGUGUCCUAACGUGUGCAUAACAACAAAACGCUGUUCUUUAUGUUUUCAUCUAUGUUGCGCUGAACAUUUUAUUUCGUAUCUUGAAGCAAAGAGAAGCGACAUGGACGGCGGUGUGAUAUACUGUGCUCUCUAUUUUUCCAGUCGGUCUACUGCCAUCAGAUAUUACCUGUUAUUUAGAGACAGGUGAAGCACUACCUUUACAGCAAGUGCAGCCAGUUGAGGAACCCGAGUGCUACCUUUCCGCCAAAAGCCUAUUCAACAGAGGCAACCGGAUCGAGGUUAUAGACUGUGCAGCCUCAUUACCUAUACAUCAGCAACUUGACUGCUCUUGCUUACUGCUGUAUUCAAUUACGGCUUUAUUUUAUGAAACGCGUUUGUAUGGUUUAGGCGAAACAUGAUUGGCACCAAGAAGAUUCUUGUUGGACUUCUCGUCCUGGCAAUGGUCCUUGCGAUCGCCAUGGCACAGUUCGCGAAUGUUGGCGAACGUCGGCUUGGUGGUGAACGUGGUUUGGGCCAAUACCGAGACUACCGCGGCUCACGUGGACGUGGCGACGACCGUAGAUCCCACGACGGACGUGAUCGUGACCAUAGAUUCGGCCGCGACCGUGGCUCUGGACGUGACCGUGGCCGAGAACGUGGCAGGGGCGGUGGAUGAGACUUCGACAGAUUUUGAUUAUUGCUUCCUCUGCUCGACCCGACGUUUCUGCACAGAAAACGGAGGGAUGUGUAAUAUGUUUUAAAUGAACAAAAGCUGAAAUGCACGGCAUGCUCCACCAUGUUAUAACAGGCGGCGUAAUUGUGAUACUCCCGAGCAAAGUGCCCGUUAACGAAAAUUUCAAGAGGCAAAUUUUCCACCAGGAAGGACCAAUAGCUCGGGUCAUAGAACCUGCCUCGAACUCCUGAAAAGAAAUAUGAUUAUCAUGAACAGAACCCUUCGAAAUAAUUAUGCAUAGACGUGAUAAACUGUACUCUGUCCUAACGGAACUGCGAUUCUUAGUAAAGAAAGAGUCGCGCACCUUUCAAGAAUAGAGCUUGCAAAGUGUGUUUCAAAUAAACAUGAUUAUCUCUGACUGAAA
rnacentral:lncRNA from 1 species